AGUAUUAACGGCGGGGCUGUAGGGAAGGGAGAGCAGAGGCGCGGCGAGGUGGUUGACUGCCCAGCCGCUCGCCCAAAGCGCUGGGUGCCAGGAGAAGGAGGGCAGGAAAGGAGGGGGGGACGGGGGGGACGGGGGGAAGAAGCAAGAGAGCCACCGACCACGCCUGUUUUGCAGCCCACGGACCUUCCCGUGCGCCUCCCACACAGCCCACGGCGGCUGCUGGGGGGAUUCGAUGCUUUGGUGCCCCUCUUGGUGUCAUUCGCCCACCUCCCCUCAGAACCCCCCUCCAUCGUCCCUCUCCCCUCCUCCCCCCCCCCAACCCUCAACUCUCUGAUCCUCUUCGGCGGACCUCGAUCCGCACCUUUUUCCUUCCCAGCUCUGCGGGGGGGAGGGGAGGAGGUGCCGACGAAGGCAGCCGUCCCCCAUCCUGCAGCAACCUUCCUUUGCAGAAGGCACCUCUCCCUUCCCUUCCCUCCCCCCCGCCCCACAAUCCGGAGCCAGGCACAACGACACUGGAGGGAGCCCAGCCCGUCCGUCCGUCGCAGAAUAAGGCGUCCGUCCCUCGUCGCCGGGGCCCAUAGCCUGCCAGUCCGCGCCAUCCCCACGCCAGGCACCAACGCAGACCUCACCUCUGGCCCGGCACCACCAGACCGCGAUCGCCGCCGCCGAGCCCCAGGAAGCAGGCACUUCUCCCUCUCUCCUCCCUCCCUCGCCACUUUCUGGAGUCCCCCCCCCCGCACCAAUCCCGGCUCAAUUAACCCUCUUUCUCCCUGCCUGCCCGCCACAUCCCCGCUGGCCUGCUGGGCGCCCCGAGAAGGAAAUCGCAGCCCUUACCUCGCCUCGCCGGGCUCCGUGGGGAUGGAGAUGGGGCGGGGGUGGAUGGGCGGCGCGCUUGGCUCUCGGUCGCCCUCGGAUGCAAUGCGGCGGUGCGCUCCCUUUCUCAGCAGUGACGGGGAGGCGUCGAGGAGGAGGCAGGGGGAGGCGGCGGGGGCCGCGGGGGGGCGCAGGGGGGGGCGGCGGUGCUGCUGCUGGUGA
rnacentral:lncRNA from 1 species